AUGGCCUGUGCUCCGGAGGAGACGCGGAGGGGCGGCUGUGCUGGAUCUGCUGCUGCUUCUGUGCCGGCAGGGGUGAGUCCAGGUGCUGCUGCCUUGACAGUGGCCAAAGGAAGGGGUUUCGAGAGCAGGGUGCUCUGCAUGCUGGUGGCCUGCGGGGUGGGCUGCUCAUGCGAAGACCUUCCUUCUCUUUCCAGGCUCACAGGUUUCAUGUCUCUGCCUGAGGAACCCGAGUGUUGGACCUUGCUUGGCUGGUUGCUCCCGGCCCGCUUGGCCUUUCCCCAGCAACGAUUGCAAAGAGAAGCAUUUAUGGAGGUUUUUAAAAGGAGAGUUGGGUACUACGUUUUUGGUCCCAUCUGGAAUAUAAACCCAGGAAUGUCCUCAGCAGUGAGUGGUUCUGAGCUGGGCACGCUUUUCCUAAAAUGGUUUAUGACAGAGAAGCUGCGAAUCCCACUUGUUCUGUCCCGCCGUGCCAGGAACGUGAGUUUCCUCCAGUUGCUUGUGCCUGUUGCUUUCAAAUACCAAAGUUGUCGCCGUGGUUCAUCCCUGGUAGCAUCUGUGUGAAAUUCAGCCCUUGGGCAAGAGCUCUGACGGGGCUGUGAGAGCCGGGGCGGAGAGGAAGGAUGUUGUCUCCAAAAGGAGCUUUAUACCGAGGCCGAGGGGUAAGGAGGAGGCCACCCGCUUCUCCCGCCGGCCGCUUGCACACGGCAGCCUCUGGGGAGGAGGUAUCUCAGAAAGCGGCUCCGGUUUUGCCUGCGUUUAAGAGUCUCAGCUGUGGUUUUGUGGGCAGAAAGAUGAAUACUGUAACUCCAACGCCUCCCGGGGCGCCCUUUGGGGACGAUGCUCGUUGCAGCAGCUGGGACGUCGGGGCGGGGAGAAUCAUUGAUUUUCAGCCGUAUUACCUGGAAACCCGCAUGUGCUCGUCGCCCUCGGGAGGGUGAGUAGCAUCACUUGUCACCCGAGAGCCUCGGACGUGAUUUAAAGCCUCGCAACAGCCCUGUGAGGUAGAUGUUAUCCUUGAAGGAGGCGCACGGGGAGGAAGGAAUUUGCUGGAGACGAGAGCUCGGCUGGGAGCCAGCGGGCAGAAACGGCGAUCCUCCGUCAGCUUCGGCACCCUCGACCUCCCGGGGCUGAACCCAGGAGCCUCGCGCCGAGGUCUCCCCUCNNNNNNNNNNNGCUCUCCUGCUUCCUUGUCGCCUGAGAGCCGGAGGAAUUUCACGUGUCGCAAGCUGAGCUCCGCGGUGCUAGAGCAGCACAGCCAUCCCGGCCGCUGCCUGAAGCCCAAGUGGGGCGUCCAGCACCUUCGUGCCACUGCUGGCCGCGGGGACCGCACCGCAGCAGAGUGGGGCGGAGGGAAACGGCUCCUCUGGCAGCAAGGAAAAAACACCAAGACGCACAUGAACUAAUCCUCACGCACAGCAAGUACAAGAAGAGAAAGCACAGACAUAAAAGCAUCUCCUGUCGAUCCCUAGCUGUGUGGCAAAGGAAAUCCUGUACUAGUCUCUUAAAUUUUCUUUAACCUUCCAUAGUGCAAAUGGUACCUUAGCACAAAGCAGUCUCUCAU
rnacentral:lncRNA from 1 species